ACACUGCUGACGAGUCCCAAACAGGACGAAACGGCUAUCCAGUUAU
rfam:Echinostoma caproni strain Egypt genome assembly, scaffold: ECPE_scaffold0001459